UUUCAUUUAUUGAUCUAGCAAUCUUAAGUAAAGGAUCUGAUGGUAACCCAAUUAGGUGUCUCCCUUAACCAAAGCAGUCCACAAACAGACCUCCUUGGUUUAAUGGCACUAACUAUAUAUAUUGGAAAGCACACAUACAUAUAUUCAUAUAAGUACUUGAUUAUGAUCUUUGGAGCAUCAUAAUCAAUGGUCCACAUACACCUACCAU
rnacentral:lncRNA from 1 species